rnacentral:tRNA from 1 species
CCCCCUUGGGCGACAGGGUGCGCUUCACGGCGCUGGCGAUGCUGUCGGCGCUGGGGACGUACAGAUCCUCCAGCGAGGGC